UUCUCUGUAGCAAUACAGGGGAUGGGCGCACGGCGCACGGGUGCGUAACACGUGGGCAAUCUGCCCUCGGAUGGGGGANAACCCCGCGAAAGCGGGGCUAAUACCGCAUGACAUUCCGAAGACUCCGGUCUUUGGACUCAAAGGCCGCAAGGCCGUCUGAGGAGGAGCCCGCGCCCGAUUAGCUAGUUGGUGAGGUAACGGCUCACCAAGGCUUUGAUCGGUAGCCGGUCUGAGAGGAUGGCCGGCCACACUGGAACUGAGACACGGUCCAGACUCCUACGGGAGGCAGCAGUGGGGAAUAUUGCGCAAUGGGCGAAAGCCUGACGCAGCGACGCCGCGUGGGGGAUGAAGCUUCUCGGAGUGUAAACCCCUUUCGACCCGGACGAAUGACCCGCAAGGGUUUGACGGUACGGGUAUAAGAAGCCCCGGCUAACUACGUGCCAGCAGCCGCGGUAAUACGUAGGGGGCCAGCGUUGCUCGGAAUUACUGGGCGUAAAGGGUUCGUAGGUGGUGCGGCAAGUUGGAAGUGAAAUCUCUGGGCUUAACCCAGAGGCUGCUUUCAAAACUGCCGUGCUCGAGUGCGAGAGAGGCCAGUGGAAUUGCAGGUGUAGCGGUGAAAUGCGUAGAUAUCUGCAGGAACACCCGUGGCGAAGGCGGCUGGCUGGAUCGCAACUGACACUGAGGAACGAAAGCUAGGGGAGCAAACAGGAUUAGAUACCCUGGUAGUCCUAGCCCUAAACCAUCAGAACUUGGGGUGGCCCGCGUAGGCGGGUCGUCCCGUAGCUAACGCGUUAAGUUCUGCGCCUGGGGAGUACGGUCGC
rnacentral:rRNA from 1 species